UUUAAAAGAUAAUUUUUUUUUUCUGUUGAAUUAAUGUUCAUUGGGCCUUUUGUCUGAUUUUCACUGAUUUCAGGCACAGUGGAUUGAAGAGGGGGGCAGUGCUGAGUCAUUCACGUGGUGUGUGAGGGCUCCUGUUUGUAAAUCAGGGAUUCUUGCAGCCUGCUUUUUCAGGGACAUUGGCUGCUGUCUUCUGACCCACCCUGUGUGGCUUUGGCGUCUCCUGUGACCUCCCAGUAUGGGUCUUGGCCUCAUCCUGCCUCUUUGUCUUUCUGGCCCACCACCCACAGCUUGAAUCUCAGGCUCCAACAGUUGCCUGACCCCCAGAUUCUGAUGACAGCCUACCUACUUGUUCUUCAGGCCCUCACCAGACUCACUGCCCAGACACACCACACAGGAGAACAUGAAAGGCUUUGAAUGAUGCAUUGGCCCACGUGGACCACCUUCCAUUUCCCAAGACUUUUUGAAGGCAAUGAAUGAGAAGAAAGCAGAGAAAACAGUGGGCGUGAGGUCAGAUGACUCAGGCUUGAGUACUGAUCACAUCAAGGAUUGGACGCACUGCUCUUAGGAAGGCACAACUUCUACUACUUUCAGUCUUAUCAACUGUGAGAGUGUACCCUUGCUGUAGAUGCCACCCGCCCAGCAGUCCUCAUCAUCUUGGCCCAGGAUCACCUGAAACAGAUGAUCCUCCUUUUGAGCUACCAUCAGAAGGUCCACAGUACUAGCCCAGCGCUACAUCCCAAUGCCUACGCCAUUCAUCUCACCUCAUCUCAUCACGUAGACAUUUCAUCAUGUCACAUCAUCACAAGAAGGGUGAGUAAGGUCCAGUGAGAUAUUUCGAGAGAGACAGAGACCAUAUUCACAUAACUAUUAUUACAAUAUAUUGUGGU